UCCCUAAUAGCUCAGUUGGUAAAGAAUCUGCUUGUAAUGCAGGAGACCCUAGUUCAAUUCCUGGUUUGGGAA
rfam:TPA: Bos taurus chromosome 4, whole genome shotgun sequence.